AGCGAACGCUGGCGGCAGGCCUAAUACAUGCAAGUCGAGCGCACCUUCGGGUGAGCGGCGGACGGGUGAGUAACGCGUGGGAACGUGCCCUUUGGUACGGGAUAACUGAGGGAAACUUCAGCUAAUACCGUAUGUGCCCUACGGGGGAAAGAUUUAUCGCCAUUGGAGCGGCCCGCGUUGGAUUAGGUAGUUGGUGAGGUAAAGGCUCACCAAGCCUACGAUCCACAGCUGGCCUGAGAGGAUGAUCAGCCACACUGGGACUGAGACACGGCCCAGACUCCUACGGGAGGCAGCAGUAGGGAAUCUUGCGCAAUGGGCGAAAGCCUGACGCAGCCAUGCCGCGUGAAUGAUGAGGGUCUUAGGAUUGUAAAAUUCUUUCACCGGGGAAGAUAAUGACGGUACCCGGAGAAGAAGCCCCGGCUAACUUCGUGCCAGCCGCCGCCGUAAUAC
rnacentral:rRNA from 1 species